ensembl:lncRNA
GUGGUCUUGUGUUAGCCACAAUGGAAUAACUGUGUUCAAGUGACAUCUGGUUCAUCUGGUCUUGUCAUCCAGCUCAAACAAGGUAAGAAAAGAAAUAACUUACCUUGUUUCUUUAUUGCAGUCAAGGCACAUAAACACUGCAAUUUUAAAAAAAAAAAUCAUCUUCUGUCUUCUGCUAGUGACUUUUGACAUUUAGAAAAAAAGAAAAAUCCAUCCUAUUCAUUUACCUUCAGAGCCUCUGUAAUGCUCAGCUCUAGCCCUUGUGGCUCAAAAUACCUUUCUGUAUUGACUGUUUUGUAAGUUUGUAGAAAAGGUCCCAGGUCACUCACCUCUUAUUGCUGGACCCAGUUUUGAGAUUGCCUUCUCCUCGUCUCUGUGAUACUAUAAUAUGUUGUCAGUUCAUCAUUAAGGCUCUCCGUCUCUUUCGCAGAAACGGGGAGGACAAGGGUCGGGUUGCAUUCUCUCCUCUGCACGCCAUGUCUGGCUGGGAGUACUUCAGCCCAUUUCAUCCAACACAUCGUCUCCCAACACACUUAUUUCCAUCCAGGGGAAGAGAUAGUAACAGAGAUCCCAGCAGAACCCUUAAGAUUCCCAGGAGAAGAUUGCUUGUGUGGGGGAUGUGAUCAUGUUCCCUUUUGGUGGGAAUAUCUGAAAUCUAUACCAUCACUUGCGAUGUAAAGUCUCUCGUUCUCCUCGCCCUCAAGUGUGGGAGGUUCUUUUAAUGCUUGGGUUUGUGAAAAGGGAAAUCAUGUCAGACUUUCACUCCAGCAUCCUCCCCUCCCCCAUUCUUGCCUCUUUUCUCUCUUCUUCUUCUUUAUAAUCAGCCCACCUUCCUUUCUGUUCACAAUGGGGAUGAGUUGUAUAUCUUAGUUAUAGAUGUGCAGUGGCUAUGAUUAACCAUUAUUCUAGAUCAUCAGCUUUUGGAGAGAGAUGAAAAAGAGAAGACGUUCUCACCUUCACAUCUCCUUCAUGCUCAUACAUCUAUUCACAGUAUGUAUGAGUAGCUUUCAGUGGCAAACUUUCAGUAGUGCAGCUGUUUUGAAAAUACCUUUUUAUUCAGGUGCAAGGAAUUAAAAGAAGUAUAUCAUAACAGAAUGCUAAAUGUAAAGCAGUAAUUUAAUGCCAUGCAUUACUUGAUUACUUGACAUUUGGCACAAUGUGAAGCAUAAUACCUAAAAGCCCCUUAACUGUAGUAACAUCACUGCCUCAAAUGGCUAAUUGCUUUUGAGAAAACUACAAUAUGACAAAAAAAAAAUACACCAAUGUCCAUGAAUAAUUUAAUAUUUAAUAUCUUUUGCCAAGCUAUAUAUGUUUUUGGUUUGAAAAUGACUUACAGCUAUGCAAUUGAAAAUGAAAUUUUUUUUGCCCUCUAGAUUUGCCCGCCAAAAUUUUGUUAAAGUGUGACUGCGUAUUUAAGGGCCGUUCACAUCAAGGACAUUAAUGUGUGGUAAUGGAAGCUAACUGUAGCAUGAAGCUAACUGCUUUUUUCAAAGGGUUGCUUCAUAUUUUAUUGUGAGAGAGGCUUAUACAAACUACAAAUAGCUUUCCCAUG